ACAAAUUUUAAUUGGCCUCUUUGAGGUGUGAUAUUGAAACAACAUUUGGGGAAGAAAA
rnacentral:sRNA from 1 species